rnacentral:rRNA from 1 species
UGGGGAAUAUUGGACAAUGGGCGCAAGCCUGAUCCAGCCAUGCCGCGUGAGUGAUGAAGGCCCUAGGGUUGUAAAGCUUUUUCACCGGUGAAGAUAAUGACGGUAACCGGAGAAGAAGCCCCGGCUAACUUCGUGCCAGCAGCCGCGGUAAUACGAAGGGGGCUAGCGUUGUUCGGAUUUACUGGGCGUAAAGCGCACGUAGGCGGACUAUUAAGUCAGGGGUGAAAUCCCGGGGCUCAACCCCGGAACUGCCUUUGAUACUGGUAGUCUUGAGUUCGAGAGAGGUGAGUGGAAUUCCGAGUGUAGAGGUGAAAUUCGUAGAUAUUCGGAGGAACACCAGUGGCGAAGGCGGCUCACUGGCUCGAUACUGACGCUGAGGUGCGAAAGCGUGGGGAGCAAACAGG